GACGAACGCUGGCGGCGUGCUUAACACAUGCAAGUCGAACGGAAAGGCCCUUCGGGGUACUCGAGUGGCGAACGGGUGAGUAACACGUGGGUGAUCUGCCCUGCACUUUGGGAUAAGCCUGGGAAACUGGGUCUAAUACCGAAUAGGACCACGCGCUUCAUGGUGUGUGGUGGAAAGCUUUUGCGGUGUGGGAUGGGCCCGCGGCCUAUCAGCUUGUUGGUGGGGUAAUGGCCUACCAAGGCGACGACGGGUAGCCGGCCUGAGAGGGUGACCGGCCACAGUGUGACUGCGCAGCGGCCAAGAGUCGAACGGGAGGAAGAGGGGGGAAAAGGAGACGAGAGGGAGCGAGGGAGAAGAGGGGGCGGCGCGUGGGGGAUGACGGCCUGCGAGUUGUACACCUAUUACAAUGGGGACGAAGAGAAGGUGAAGGUAACAAAAGAAGAAGCACCGACCAACUACGAGCCAGAAGCCGAGAAAUAAACGAAGAGCAAACGUCUGAAC
rnacentral:rRNA from 1 species